rnacentral:siRNA from 1 species
UCAGACUCUGUGUUGAUUGAUGA